CAGCAGCCACGGUAAUACAGAGGUGCCAAGCGUUAGGCGGAAUCACUGGGCUUAAAGCGUGUGUAGGCGGAUGCCUAAGUACCUUGUGAAAUCCCACGGCUUAACCGUGGAACUGCUCGGUAUACUGGGUGUCUUGAGCUGUCUAGGGGCUACCGGAACAAAUGGUGGAGCGGUGAAAUGCGUAGAUAUCAUUUGGAACGCCAAUGGUGAAAACAGGUAGCUGGGGACAUGCUGACGCUGAGGCACGAAAGCUAGGGGAGCAAACGGGAUUAGAUACCCCAGUAGUCCCUGUCUCUUAUAA
rnacentral:rRNA from 1 species